rnacentral:rRNA from 1 species
AUUGAACGCUGGCGGCAUGCUUUACACAUGCAAGUCGAGCGGCAGCGCGGGGGCAACCCUGGCGGCGAGCGGCGAACGGGUGAGUAAUGCAUCGGAACGUAUCCUCGAGUGGGGGAUAACCCAGCGAAAGUUGGGCUAAUACCGCAUGAGCUCUGAGGAGGAAAGCGGGGGACCUGCGAGGGCCUCGCGCUGGAGGAGCGGCCGAUGUCCGAUUAGCUAGUUGGUGGGGUAAAGGCUUACCAAGGCGACGAUCGGUAGCUGGUCUGAGAGGAUGAUCAGCCACACUGGGACUGAGACACGGCCCAGACUCCUACGGGAGGCAGCAGUGGGGAAUUUUGGACAUUGGGGGCAACCCUGAUCCAGCCAUGCCGCGUGAGUGAAGAAGGCCUUCGGGUUGUAAAGCUCUUUCGGACGGAACGAAAUGGGCGGGACUAAUACUCCUGUCUGAUGACGGUACCGUAAGAAGAAGCACCGGCUAACUACGUG